UACACAUGCACAGGGUUGAAACCAGUUCCUACGCAACCGGUAGGAAUCGGACCGGAUUAGAACGCAAAUUUCGGUUCCACUUAAUGUGUCGACUGAAAUAUUUUCCCUCAGUCGCUGUGA